rnacentral:rRNA from 1 species
GCGAUACAGGGUGACAGCCCCGUACACAAAAAUGCACAUAUUGUGAGCUCGAUGAGUAGGGCGGGACACGUGGUAUCCUGUCUGAAUAUGGGGGGACCAUCCUCCAAGGCUAAAUACUCCUGACUGACCGAUAGUGAACCAGUACCGUGAGGGAAAGGCGAAAAGAACCCCGGCGAGGGGAGUGAAAAAGAACCUGAAACCGUGUACGUACAAGCAGUGGGAGCACGCUUAGGCGUGUGACUGCGUACCUUUUGUAUAAUGGGUCAGCGACUUAUAUUCUGUAGCAAGGUUAACCGAAUAGGGGAGCCGAAGGGAAACCGAGUCUUAACUGGGCGUUAAGUUGCAGGGUAUAGACCCGAAACCCGGUGAUCUAGCCAUGGGCAGGUUGAAGGUUGGGUAACACUAACUGGAGGACCGAACCGACUAAUGUUGAAAAAUUAGCGGAUGACUUGUGGCUGGGGGUGAAAGGCCAAUCAAACCGGGAGAUAGCUGGUUCUCCCCGAAAGCUAUUUAGGUAGCGCCUCGUGAAUUCAUCUCCGGGGGUAGAGCACUGUUUCGGCAAGGGGGUCAUCCCGACUUACCAACCCGAUGCAAACUGCGAAUACCGGAGAAUGUUAUCACGGGAGACACACGGCGGGUGCUAACGUCCGUCGUGAAGAGGGAAACAACCCAGACCGCCAGCUAAGGUCCCAAAGUCAUGGUUAAGUGGGAAACGAUGUGGGAAGGCCCAGACAGCCAGGAUGUUGGCUUAGAAGCAGCCAUCAUUUAAAGAAAGCGUAAUAGCUCACUGGUCGAGUCGGCCUGCGCGGAAGAUGUAACGGGGCUAAACCAUGCACCGAAGCUGCGGCAGCGACGCUUAUGCGUUGUUGGGUAGGGGAGCGUUCUGUAAGCCUGUGAAGGUGUGCUGUGAGGCAUGCUGGAGGUAUCAGAAGUGCGAAUGCUGACAUAAGUAACGAUAAAGCGGGUGAAAAGCCCGCUCGCCGGAAGACCAAGGGUUCCUGUCCAACGUUAAUCGGGGCAGGGUGAGUCGACCCCUAAGGCGAGGCCGAAAGGCGUAGUCGAUGGGAAACAGGUUAAUAUUCCUGUACUUGGUGUUACUGCGAAGGGGGGACGGAGAAGGCUAUGUUGGCCGGGCGACGGUUGUCCCGGUUUAAGCGUGUAGGCUGGUUUUCCAGGCAAAUCCGGAAAAUCAAGGCUGAGGCGUGAUGACGAGGCACUACGGUGCUGAAGCAACAAAUGCCCUGCUUCCAGGAAAAGCCUCUAAGCAUCAGGUAACAUCAAAUCGUACCCCAAACCGACACAGGUGGUCAGGUAGAGAAUACCAAGGCGCUUGAGAGAACUCGGGUGAAGGAACUAGGCAAAAUGGUGCCGUAACUUCGGGAGAAGGCACGCUGAUAUGUAGGUGAAGUCCCUUGCGGAUGGAGCUGAAAUCAGUCGAAGAUACCAGCUGGCUGCAACUGUUUAUUAAAAACACAGCACUGUGCAAACACGAAAGUGGACGUAUACGGUGUGACGCCUGCCCGGUGCCGGAAGGUUAAUUGAUGGGGUCAGCGCAAGCGAAGCUCUUGAUCGAAGCCCCGGUAAACGGCGGCCGUAACUAUAACGGUCCUAAGGUAGCGAAAUUCCUUGUCGGGUAAGUUCCGACCUGCACGAAUGGCGUAAUGAUGGCCAGGCUGUCUCCACCCGAGACUCAGUGAAAUUGAACUCGCUGUGAAGAUGCAGUGUACCCGCGGCAAGACGGAAAGACCCCGUGAACCUUUACUAUAGCUUGACACUGAACAUUGAGCCUUGAUGUGUAGGAUAGGUGGGAGGCUUUGAAGUGUGGACGCCAGUCUGCAUGGAGCCGACCUUGAAAUACCACCCUUUAAUGUUUGAUGUUCUAACGUGGACCCGUGAUCCGGGUUGCGGACAGUGUCUGGUGGGUAGUUUGACUGGGGCGGUCUCCUCCUAAAGAGUAACGGAGGAGCACGAAGGUUGGCUAAUCCUGGUCGGACAUCAGGAGGUUAGUGCAAUGGCAUAAGCCAGCUUGACUGCGAGCGUGACGGCGCGAGCAGGUGCGAAAGCAGGUCAUAGUGAUCCGGUGGUUCUGAAUGGAAGGGCCAUCGCUCAACGGAUAAAAGGUACUCCGGGGAUAACAGGCUGAUACCGCCCAAGAGUUCAUAUCGACGGCGGUGUUUGGCACCUCGAUGUCGGCUCAUCACAUCCUGGGGCUGAAGUAGGUCCCAAGGGUAUGGCUGUUCGCCAUUUAAAGUGGUACGCGAGCUGGGUUUAGAACGUCGUGAGACAGUUCGGUCCCUAUCUGCCGUGGGCGCUGGAGAACUGAGGGGGGCUGCUCCUAGUACGAGAGGACCGGAGUGGACGCAUCACUGGUGUUCGGGUUGUCAUGCCAAUGGCACUGCCCGGUAGCUAAAUGCGGAAGAGAUAAGUGCUGAAAGCAUCUAAGCACGAAACUUGCCCCGAGAUGAGUUCUCCCUGAC